CAUGCAAGUCGAACGCGUUGGCCCAAUUGAUUGAUGGUGCUUGCACCUGAUUGAUUUUGGUCGCCAACGAGUGGCGGACGGGUGAGUAACACGUAGGUAACCUGCCCAGAAGCGGGGGACAACAUUUGGAAACAGAUGCUAAUACCGCAUAACAGCGUUGUUCGCAUGAACAACGCUUAAAAGAUGGCUUCUCGCUAUCACUUCUGGAUGGACCUGCGGUGCAUUAGCUUGUUGGUGGGGUAACGGCCUACCAAGGCGAUGAUGCAUAGCCGAGUUGAGAGACUGAUCGGCCACAAUGGGACUGAGACACGGCCCAUACUCCUACGGGAGGCAGCAGUAGGGAAUCUUCCACAAUGGGCGCAAGCCUGAUGGAGCAACACCGCGUGAGUGAAGAAGGGUUUCGGCUCGUAAAGCUCUGUUGUUAAAGAAGAACACGUAUGAGAGUAACUGUUCAUACGUUGACGGUAUUUAACCAGAAAGUCACGGCUAACUACGUGCCAGCAGCCGCGGUAAUACGUAGGUGGCAAGCGUUAUCCGGAUUUAUUGGGCGUAAAGAGAGUGCAGGCGGUUUUCUAAGUCUGAUGUGAAAGCCUUCGGCUUAACCGGAGAAGUGCAUCGGAAACUGGAUAACUUGAGUGCAGAAGAGGGUAGUGGAACUCCAUGUGUAGCGGUGGAAUGCGUAGAUAUAUGGAAGAACACCAGUGGCGAAGGCGGCUACCUGGUCUGCAACUGACGCUGAGACUCGAAAGCAUGGGUAGCGAACAGGAUUAGAUACCCUGGUAGUCCAUGCCGUAAACGAUGAGUGCUAGGUGUUGGAGGGUUUCCGCCCUUCAGUGCCGGAGCUAACGCAUUAAGCACUCCGCCUGGGGAGUACGACCGCAAGGUUGAAACUCAAAGGAAUUGACGGGGGCCCGCACAAGCGGUGGAGCAUGUGGUUUAAUUCGAAGCUACGCGAAGAACCUUACCAGGUCUUGACAUCUUGCGCCAACCCUAGAGAUAGGGCGUUUCCUUCGGGAACGCAAUGACAGGUGGUGCAUGGUCGUCGUCAGCUCGUGUCGUGAGAUGUUGGGUUAAGUCCCGCAACGAGCGCAACCCUUGUUACUAGUUGCCAGCAUUAAGUUGGGCACUCUAGUGAGACUGCCGGUGACAAACCGGAGGAAGGUGGGGACGACGUCAGAUCAUCAUGCCCCUUAUGACCUGGGCUACACACGUGCUACAAUGGACGGUACAACGAGUCGCGAACUCGCGAGGGCAAGCAAAUCUCUUAAAACCGUUCUCAGUUCGGACUGCAGGCUGCAACUCGCCUGCACGAAGUCGGAAUCGCUAGUAAUCGCGGAUCAGCAUGCCGCGGUGAAUACGUUCCCGGGCCUUGUACACACCGCCCGUCACACCAUGAGAGUUUGUAACACCCAAAGUCGGUGGGGUAACCUUUUAGGAGCCAGCCGC
rnacentral:rRNA from 1 species